CUCUUAACUCUUGAAGUAAAUAAAUAAUCUUUGCUGGCAGGACUAUGCUGAAUCUCCUUAGGCACUCUCUAAUUAGAUGUCCUAGGUCCUCCCAAUUCUUAGUCCUUUUAUACCUGUUUUUCUCCUUCUCUUAUUCCAUUUAGUUUUUCAAUUCAUACAAAACUGUAUCCAGGCCAUCACCUAUCAUUCUAUACAACAAAUGUUUCUUCUAACAUCCCCACAAUAUCACCCCUUACCACAAGACCUCCCUUCAGCUUAAUCUCUCCCACUCUAGGUUCCCACGCUGCCCCUAAUCCCGCUUGAAGCAGCCCUGAGAAACAUCGCCCAUUCUCUCUCCAUACCACCCCCCAAAAAUUUUCGCCACCCCAACACUUCAACACUAUUUUAUUUUUCUUAUUAAUAUAAGAAGGCAGGCAUGUCAGGCCUCUGAGCCCAAGCCAAGCCAUCGCAACCCCUGUGACUUGCACCUAUACGCCCAGAUGGCCUGAAGUAACUGAAGAAUCACAAAAGAAGUGAAUAUGCCCUGCCCCACCUUAACUGAUGACAUUCCACCACAAAAGAAGUGUAAAUGGCUGGUCCUUGCCUUAACUGAUGACAUUACCUUGUGAAAGUCCUCUUCCUGGCUCAUCCUGGCUCAAAAAGCACCCCCACUGAGCACCUUGAGACCCCCACUCCUGCCCGCCAGAGAACAAACCCCCUUUGACUGUAAUUUUCCUUUACCUACCCAAAUCCUAUAAAACGGCCCCACCCUUAUCUCCCUUCACUGACUCUCUUUUCGGACUCAGCCCGCCUGCACCCAGGUGAAAUAAACAGCUUUAUUGCUCACACAAAGCCUGUUUGGUGGUCUCUUCACACGGACGCACAUGAAAUUUAGUUGUAUCCAUAAGGCAUAUGGAGGAGACUAAUUCCUCUUCCAAAGACAUGUACCAGAGUCCUGGAGAGGCUGAGGGCUGGAGGUGGAAGAAAGGCUCUGACAGGGGUCAGAAUCUGUUCAGGAAACAUAGCAAAUGCCUGAUACUUUUAAUUAGAGAAAGGUUUGAAUCUCCACAUUCAUAUAUUUGCAGUCCAGUGACCUUUCAGUUUUUUUAUGCCCAAAGUGUCAAGCAUGUUAAUGUUACCAUUGACUGCCUCCCUGAAGGUGCAGCUACCAGGGGAACUGCCAGGACUUCAAAGCCCACAACCAAAAGCCAGAAAACACUACCAAGUACAAGCCCCGGACACUGGACCCAGAGCACACCCUGGGCAUCUGCUCUGAGAUCCUCUCCCUGGACAGAGACAGCUGCUCCUUCAGAAACAGAGGAGACCCUGAACACAGGCAGGCCUCCUGAGCUUCCAGCCAGGGCCACAGCCACAUGGUUCAGUGCCUCCCACACUCUCCCAGCCUUGGCUACCAGGAGGGUGGCCAGAACUCAGUGGUUGACAGCUGACAGACAGACGUGGGCUUCCAUAUCGUCCGUGCCCUGGGCUCAGACCAUCAGUGAGAAAAAACCUGGAGGGUCUCUCUGGGAAACUCGUUCUUCCCCACCGACUACUGCAGGGACCGAGGAAGCCAUGAACACUACAAGCCUUUUGGCGCCUGCUGCUGAGAUAAUGGCCACACCUGGCAGCCCAUCCCAGGCCAGCCCUACCUUGGGAGCAUUCACCCAUGGCACACAGACUCCGAGUCCAACCAAGGCAACAGCCCCCAGAUAUCCACAAACAGGUGAUCUCUCUGCAGAGUGGCCAUUCACUGCUGGUGAAGAGCCAGUCCUGGUCCCAAGACCCCAUCAAGUUUCAAGGUGUCCUCAGCCACUCUUCAAGGUGGGAGCUAUGGCAGCUGCUCCUCUCACCCUGGCUAUUCAGAGGCUCAACCCAUGCCUGAUGGAGCUGUGCCAAUUCUUCCAGCAAUGCCUCUGCAUGAGCCAGAGGAGUCCCAGGACAGAGGACAUGAGAUACUGUCUUGAAUACUAUUCCUGGUUUCUGAAGAAUGCAACAUAUAUCUGUCAGAGGGUGAAAAGGGUGUCCCACUCGCACACCUUAAAGCAAAAGUGCCUUGAGAAUAUCUGCAAGUCUGUGUGAGGCCUUGAAAAUAACACUAGGGCAUAACAAUUACUUCAGGGGAUACGCCAUCCACCCUGGCUCUUGUCCCAAGUGGGCUACAUUUGAAGAAUUCACCCAGGCUCCAGCUAGAUCAUCAGUUAAUUUAAAGUGGUUAUUCUUGGAAGUAGCAUUUUUUUUCCCUCUCCUGUGAAUCUGUGCAAAACAUUGAAGGUAGAAGUUUUCUUGUUA
rnacentral:lncRNA from 1 species